UUUCCGUAGGUGAACCUGCGGAAGGAUCAUUGUCGAAACCUGCCCAGCAGAACGACCCGCGAACUUGUAUAAACAACUGGGGGCGGGGGGGGCGUUCUCGCCCCGUGCCCCCGAACGGCGGGGAGACACUCGUGCCUUCUUGCCGAACAACGAACCCCGGCGCGGUUUGCGCCAAGGAACUUUAACCAAAGAGUGCCUCCGGUCGCCUCGGAAACGGCGUGCGUGCCGGAGGCGAAUCUUGUGCAAAACCAUAACGACUCUCGGCAACGGAUAUCUCGGCUCUC
rnacentral:misc_RNA from 1 species